GAAUUAUUGAUAUCCCACAAUGCACUGUGCAUUCAAGAAAUCCUCUGUAUUAAAACAUUUGGGUCUUUUUCUAAGGUCUUUUUCCAAAUCUACUUUUAAAUCUAUUGAUUGCAUUUCUAGCCCAUCAGAGUUCAUGAAAAUGGUCAAUUGUGCACACGCAGUUUAGCAGUGAGUUUAGCCAGCUGCAGCCUCAUAACGAGGCUGAGCCAGGGUGGACUAAACCCGCGCCUCCUUCACCCGCUUUUCGGGUACCGAUUCCCGAAACCGGAAAUGGUCAAAACGGAAGUAGGAAGUUGUGGGCUGCGCAUAUUUGAAGAAGUAAAAUACUAUAUUUAAAGCAUUUAACCAAAAUAUUAACAGAAUAAUAAAUUGAAAACACACCGCACAAAUUCGAUGUUUACUAUAUAUAAAUUAUCGAUAAAAAAAGUGCGCGUUUUAUAUUAAGACCCUAUUAAAAUUAUGGCAACACUAAGUAUAGUUUAAUUAUAAACAGACAUGAUAUUGUUUAAUUUCCACUAAAAUAUCAAUGCAAUUCGAAACCCAAACAAUUGCCAAAUGCAAACAAGUCCUUUUCAG